GUUUCGGAGGCCGCUCCGAUCACGUCCCUGUUUCGCAUAGGCCCUCCACCAAAAAAACCAUCCCCCAAAAAACAUCACCAUCACUCUCGCCAAUACUUGCAGCUGGGAUACUUGGACAAGACAGGGGUCCGGGUUCCGGUGAAGCGGCUGUAAUGACGGGUGCUUCUCGUUCCUGUACGACUCAUCUCACCCCACAGCCUUUGAGCCAGGUCACGGUGGCAACAUAAGGCACACUCUCUCUCCAGUUAUGGGCAAGAUGACUGGAGACUGACAAAGUGACGAAGUUUACAGCGAACAACAAAAAUUAGACUGUUGGUUGAAUAAUAUUAAUGCUUUUGAAUGACUCG
rnacentral:misc_RNA from 1 species